rnacentral:rRNA from 1 species
AUCAGCUUGUUGGUGGGGUAAUGGCCUACCAAGGCGGCGACGGGUAGCCGGCCUGAGAGGGUGGACGGCCACAUUGGGACUGAGAUACGGCCCAGACUCCUACGGGAGGCAGCAGUGGGGAAUAUUGCACAAUGGGCGCAAGCCUGAUGCAGCGACGCCGCGUGGGGGAUGACGGCCUUCGGGUUGUAAACUCCUUUCGCUAGGGACGAAGCUUUUUGUGACGGUACUUAGAUAAGAAGCACCGGCUAACUACGUGCCAGCAGCCGCGGUAAUACGUAGGGUGCGAGCGUUGUCCGGAAUUACUGGGCGUAAAGGGCUCGUAGGUGGUUUGUCGCGUCGUCUGUGAAAUUCCGGGGCUUAACUCCGGGCGUGCAGGCGAUACGGGCAUAACUUGAGUACUGUAGGGGUAACUGGAAUUCCUGGUGUAGCGGUGAAAUGCGCAGAUAUCAGGAGGAACACCGAUGGCGAAGGCAGGUUACUGGGCAGUUACUGACGCUGAGGAGCGAAAGCAUGGGUAGCGAACAGGAUUAGAUACCCUGGUAGUCCAUGCCGUAAACGGUGGGCGCUAGGUGUGAGGGUCUUUUCACGACUUUCGUGCCGUAGCUAACGCAUUAAGCGCC